GAUGAACGCUGGCGGCGUGCCUAAUACAUGCAAGUCGAGCGAACAGACGAGGAGCUUGCUCCUCUGACGUUAGCGGCGGACGGGAGAGUAACACGUGGAUAACCUACCUAUAAGACUGGGAUAACUUCGGGAAACCGGAUCUAAUACCGGAUAAUAUAUUGAACCGCAUGGUUCAAUAGUGAGAGACGGUUUUGCUGUCGCUUAUAGAUGGAUCCGCGUCGCAUUAGCUAGUUGGUAAGGUAACGGCUUACCAAGGCAACGAUGCGAAGCCGACCUGAGAGGGUGAUUCGCCAGCUUGGAACUGAGACACGGCCCAGACUCCUACGCGAGGCAGCAGUCGGGACUCUUCCGCAAUGGGCGAAAGCCUGACGGAGCAACGCCGCGUGAGUGAUGAAGGUCUUCGGAUCGUAAAACUCUGUUAUCCGGGAAGAACAAAUGUGUAAGUAACUAUGCACGUCUUGACGGUACCUAAUCAGAAAGCCACGGCUAACUCCGUG
rnacentral:rRNA from 1 species